rnacentral:lncRNA from 1 species
UCGUGCCAUCUGGACUUCUCCAAUAAUGAGCUCCUUCAUUUGUCUGUCGGACUGCUCCAAAUGCUCUCUGAGCUUCACUAUCAGUCAAUUUUCUACAGUGAUCGACUGUUCUCUGAAUCUCUUCCAGACUUCCUCCUGUCACGAUCGACUUUACUCCGAGCUUCUUUCGAACUUUGUCAAAUGUUCGAGCUUCCCCAGC